rnacentral:rRNA from 1 species
AGCGAACGCUGGCGGCAGGCCUAACACAUGCAAGUCGAACGGACCCUUCGGGGUUAGUGGCGGACGGGUGAGUAACACGUGGGAACGUGCCUUUAGGUUCGGAAUAGCUCCUGGAAACGGGUGGUAAUGCCGAAUGUGCCCUUCGGGGGAAAGAUUUAUCGCCUUUAGAGCGGCCCGCGUCUGAUUAGCUAGUUGGUGAGGUAAUGGCUCACCAAGGCGAUGAUCAGUAGCUGGUCUGAGAGGAUGACCAGCCACAUUGGGACUGAGACACGGCCCAAACUCCUACGGGAGGCAGCAGUGGGGAAUCUUGCGCAAUGGGCGAAAGCCUGACGCAGCCAUGCCGCGUGGAUGAUGAAGGUCUUAGGAUUGUAAAAUCCUUUCACCGGUGAAGAUAAUGACUGUAGCCGGAGAAGAAGCCCCGGCUAACUUCGUGCCAGCCGCCGCGGUAAAAC